UACGUAGGGUGCAAGCGUUGUCCGGAAUUAUUGGGCGUAAAGAGCUCGUAGGCGGUUUGUCGCGUCUGCUGUGAAAACGCGAGGCUCAACCUCGCGCCUGCAGUGGGUACGGGCAGACUAGAGUGCGGUAGGGGAGAUUGGAAUUCCUGGUGUAGCGGUGGAAUGCGCAGAUAAUCAGGAGGAACACCGAUGGCGAAGGCAGAUCUCUGGGCCGUAACUGACGCUGAGGAGCGAAAGCGUGGGGAGCGAACAG
rnacentral:rRNA from 1 species